AGCAAAAUAUUAAGUCCCUUUCUUCCAAAUAUAAUACUCGACCGGCUACGCCAUUAUGCAAUAUAUAUGUAUACAUAUGCAGAGGUGGACUUUGGGAGGAAAAUAACAUUUAUUACUCAAUAUUUUGAGAGAAAUUGUGUAACAUUUUCGUUCAUAUUCAAGCAACAAGAAGUAGCUGAAGUUUUUUUUUUUUUUUUUUAUCGUUCUUUUGCAAUUGAGAAAGCAUUCUUGGUCUCUUUCCUAAAAAAAAUACAACAUAGCAGCCCCUCAUGUUCUAAGCUAACGUUCCAACAUGAAAAUGGGGGGUUUUGCCGACGGAAAGAGCUGCUCCAAGAUCAAGCAUAGUUAUGUUCCUCCGUCGAUUUCAUGAUUAUAAUUUCGAUCCCCUCCGAAUCGUAGCAAUUUCGAGAUUACUUUGUGUUGAAGUUGAAGCUUUCUUCUAGGUGAAGUAUCCUAAGAUUAAAGCUGUUCUUGUGUGAUUGAGGUAAGAUUACAUCUUUUCUAUAUGUUCUUGAGUUAGUUUGGUCAUUAGUCAACUUGUAAGAUAAAGAAAUUGUGGAAGACAAGUUGGGAUACAUACUAGAGCUCUUGUUAGUUUUGUGGGCCGAUUUGGAAUAUGAUCUUGAGUCAUUAAGGCUGUUAUAAAAUAGGUUGGGGUUGAUGUUGUUGUUAAGUUGUUGUUCUUGAAUUUGGUAGAAGAAAGUGUAUAAAAACAUCGUAUACAAAGCGUAUAUCGGGCUGUUUUGGCGUAUAUCUUUGGAAGUUGAUGUUUUGAGUUUAAAGACGCUUAUAUGAGGUUGUUGUUGAUGUUAUACUUGUUGUGCAGCUCUGGUUGUUGUUGUUGUUGUUGUUGUUGAUAUGUGGAGUUGGAGGAAGUCAAAUGUUAUAGGGGAGAUGCUGCCCAAAUUUAUAUAGACAAGUUACUAACGUUGAGAUUCUACUAAGUCUCUUUAUGGUGUUAAUCAUGGACCUAAUUAUAUUAAUGUAGAUUGAAUUGUAUUGUGGAAUUCUUUUGAAAGCAUUGGGGAGACAAGGAGAUUCAGUCCCAGAUUGUUUUGCAGGUAAAAGUAUCCAGCUAGGAUGGUUGGCUAUCAGCUGGGAUUGGCAAACUCCAUUUUCUUCCUGGAGCAGUGCCGAGUCAUUAUGGUUAUCAUGUGUGUGUACGGGUAUGUCGGGGCCCUGUCCCGAUUCAUAUGAUUCAAGUGUUUACUCUUAGAGACUUUGCAGACAGUGUCCUGUGGUUAGUAUGUUGAGAUGUCGUGCGUUGAGUAAAGCGACCAUGUAGGUUGAUAUGUCAAUUUAACUUAUUCGAUUUUUGAUUAAUUGACUAUCGUUCGCAAAUUUCUAUGGUUUGACUGGAAGUACUUUACUAUAUGUCCAGUUUCAUUAUGUGAAUGCCAGCGGAUUCGCUCAGCUUUAAGUAAGAGCUGGGUGCCCAUCAUACCCUAUCGGAAUUGGGGUGUGACAGCUUUCUUACAUCACGAUGAAGCCCUAUGACAAGCUAGAAAAAUGCAACUUAGAGCCUGGUGAGUAUGGGUUGUACCCAAUUUUUUUUGUUGCUAAUCUUACGUCAUUUAUGGAGCCUUUAGACUCAAGGACGAGUCUUUCUCAACAAGGGGAGAAUGAUGAAAGAUGAAAACGAUCAAGAAAUCCAAGAAACACAAGAUUGAAAUUCAAGAAAAAGAAAAGUCCAAGAAGCUCAAGUUUGAAGAUUAUUUCCAAUUCUUGUUUCUUGAAUCCUUUUCUAAAUAGGUUUCUUGUUUCUUGAUUUAUAUUUUAGUAGGAUUUAAUUUCCUAUCAUUAGUAGGACUUUUAUCCUAGUUCUAGUAGGAUUCAGUUUUCUUUAUUCUUUUCCUUGUAGAAUAAGGAUUUUACUUUCCUUGUUUUUAGUUAUUUCCUUUCUAGAGUAGAAUAGGGAUUUGUAGUCAUAAAAAAGAGACCCUAGGCUUAUAUAAAGGGUUCUCAUGACUUGUAAAUAUAGAAUUCACGUUUUUGAGCUUUAACCCUAGGUUGCAAUAGAGUUAUUUUCUCUA